CAGCCGCCACGGGAAUACGUAGGUGGCAAGCGUUGUCCGGAAUUAUUGGGCGUAAAGGGCUCGCGGGCGGUUUCUUAAGUCUGAUGUGAAAGCCCCCGGCUCAACCGGGGAGGGUCAUUGGAAACUGGGAAACUUGAGUGCAGAAGAGGAGAGUGGAAUUCCACGUGUAGCGGUGAAAUGCGUAGAGAUGUGGAGGAACACCAGUGGCGAAGGCGACUCUCUGGUCUGUAACUGACGCUGAGGAGCGAAAGCGUGGGGAGCGAACAGGAUUAGAUACCCGGGUAGUCCCUGUCUCUUAUAC
rnacentral:rRNA from 1 species